GAUCUCCCGUCCCUGCAGCCGGGCGGGGAGCGGGGAACCGCUCAGUACUGCCGCCGGGCUCCCGCCGGCACGGGGCCGUCCCCGAGGGGCCCAGGGCGGAGCUGGCCGAGGCGGCGGGCGUGGCCCUUGUGGCUAGCCGGCAGGCGCUCGCCUAGCGGAGGCAGCAGAGCUGUGGGAGGCGUUGUGCGCGGUACCGCCGCCCGGCCGCUCCCUCCGCCGUUCGCCCCGCGCCUGCGCCGUGUCGUCGCUCUCGCUCCCGCCCCCACCCCAGGGCGCCCGGCCCAGCCCGGCCUCGGGCCACGGCGGGGGUGCCGCGUCUGGGGCGCCUCGUCGUGCCCCGUCCUGGAGCCGGCAGUGACAGGAGCAGGACUUGGAAACAUCCAACGCUCCAUGCGUGAAGGCGAGUACCUUUACUGGUCCCAGUUACCCAGCUCUACUGGCACCAGUUAUCCCCCCUUAACGCGUCCCAGUUACCCAGCUAUGCUGUUCCCAGUUAUCCCCUACUUUACAUGUCCAGAUAUGCAGCCAUACUGGCCCCAGUUACACCCCCCACUUCACUGGUCCCAAUUACUUAACUAUACUGGUCUCAGUUACCCCCACCUUUACUCAUCCCAGAUACUGUGCUAGACUGGUCCCAGUUAUUCCUGUUUACUGGUCCCAGUUACUCUCACAUUUUCUGCUCCCACUUACCCUGCCCGCGGGGGGGCCCCCCCCCUCAUAGUCCCACUUACUCAGCUAUACUUGCGUUUCUGUGUGUGACACACUCAGCGGGCAGAACGCACCAGCGGUUGCCUAUGCUUCUGCCUGGAUGCACAUCAUCCACGUGCCCUGCUCCUACGGUAACACCUCCAGUGACUGCUGUUGUUGCCUCUAACUGCUGGGAGCUCCCUCCAGAAGUACUGACCUGCCCCUUGGCUCGCAGGAUCCUGGGCGCCAGACUCCACAGACAGAGACGACCUGAGCAGGGUGGGCCUGGAGGAAAUCAGCCUGUGCAGGGCCGUGCCCACAGAUGUGAGGAAGCUAGCAGCAGAUGCAGCAGUGGGAUCGUGAGGCAAGCUGCUGGACACCAGAUUUGGUGGCGGGGCAGGUGUGGCACUUUGUGGCUGGACGUGAAGCCAGCGGCAGUGCCACUCCACUCCACUCCACAGAAAUAAUGCUGCAACCGCACCUUCUAUAAAAGACUUACUCUGUUGCAGCAGCAGUGCCACCCCACUCAGUGUGCCACUCCACCCGGCUCUGCAGGCAGCCCCACCCCCGCCCCCCAGAGUGCAGGGCCUGGGGUGGUCAUACCAAUUUGGCCCCUGUUAGGGAUGGCCCUGCCCACAGCCUUAGUAUUCUCCCUCCCUGUGCCUGGGUGAGGUGUUGAGCACCUUGAUCUGUACAGGCUUCAGGUGUUGUUAGCCACUCAUCAUUAUGUUCCCAAAACCCAGCCCCUGUGAACCUGUCCUAUCUGGCAGCCUCUCCUAGUCUUCCCCGCUGCCAAAUCUGCCACCAACUUCCUUGCGUGCAGGGGUGAGGCCCCGCACAGGCUGAUUUGCCCCGGGCCCUGCACCCUGCUCAGGUCAUCCCUGGUUGCCGGAGAGUGGGGAGAAUGCCUCCUUGCCCCCCCGGCUCUUGGCUUCUCUCAGCUUGAAGCUGUUUAUCUGUUUCCGUUCCCCUUUUCCCUCUUCCUCUCCCUCUGCUGCCACUGUCUCCUCAAUGUGCUGGAUGUUGGUGUAAGCCAGGUCUGUGGGCCACACAGGCAGUUCUGGGGAUCUGCAGCUACACUGGUCCCAGUUACCCUGUUUUCCUGUCCCAGCUCUUCCCACCACCCCCCUUUACUGGUCCUUAUUACUAAGCUAUACUGGUCCCAGUUACCCCCACCUUUAGUGAUCCCAAUUACCGAGCUGUACUGGCCCCAGUUAUCCCUCCCUUAACUUGUUCCAAUUACCCAGCUGUAUUGGUCCCAGUUACACCCCCACUUCACUGGUCCCAAUUAGCCAGCUACGCUGUCCCCAGUUACCCUCAAUUUUACUCAUCCCUGUUACAGUACUAGACUGGUCCCAGUUACCUCCACCUUUACUGGUCCCAUGUACCCUGCUAGACUGGUCCCAGUUAGCUCUACCUUUACUGGUUCCACUUACCCCUCCAGUACUGGUCCCAGUUACCCAGCUAUACUGGCCCCAAUUACCCCCACCCUAUACUGGUUAAACCUUCUUUGUAGCUUUUCCUGUUUCCCUGAGAGACAUUUCUCAUGCCUAAGUCAGCUGGGAGCUGUGAAACCAAGUCCUGAGACCGUGGUGAGCAUGCAGGUGUCGUCUUACCAUCAUCAGUGUCGGGGUUAACGCUGUGAAUAUUUUAUCUUGCAUGACAUUGUCUGAUGUGGGCCUUCGAGGCUUGUCCUUGUGCACCUGUCCUUGGAACCAGCUUAUCGUUGAGGAGGUGCAACGUGACAAUCGGCACCAAAAGUCAUGGGGUAGAAGGGCCUUUGACACCUGACACGUGUGCAACCAGAUCUGUGCGGACUGUUCAGAAAUGAGCAUUUGGAGCCUGUCUGCUGUUUCUGAGGGACCUAGGAAUGGCAACAUCCCCCGAAGCAUGCCUUUCUCUUUCCCAGCUCCACCGCCAGCAGUGGAUUUAGAAAUUCAUUUAAAAAUGGGGGCACAGACCGUGAGGUGCAGCAUCUCAUUGAAAACAACCCACAUUUUCCUCCAGGUAACCUCACUUUUAGAACAACAAAGGAAGAAUCGCAAGUGUAGGCCGGAUCAGACUGAUCACCUGAACCACCCUCUCCGUGAACACGAAUCUCUUAGUUCACGCUGAAGCCGCGGAGCACCCGAAAGGGACCGAAGGAAGGGGACUUAGUCCUAUCAGUAUUGAGGCCAGCCCAUUGAAAUGUACUGCUGAGGCCAACCCAUUAAAUUGUACUACUGAGGAAUGAAACUGUAUUUAGGUGUUUGGCUUCUCGGAAUGCUAGGAUUGUAAGUAUAUUAUGAAAAUAAUAGUAUUGAUUCAAAUUGAACUUUGAGUUGUAAUUGUUGUUUUUGUAAUACUGAUUCUUAUAACAUUGUUUGGGAAGGAAGUGCAUUUGGAGCAUUGUUUCUGACAUAUGUAGUUAUUGUGUUCUUAAUGUUUGUGGUAUUUCUUAAAGCUAAGCAGUGUUAUAUGUGCAGCAAAGAAUUUUAAAAUAAAAUUGUGU